CCCAAUGUGAUGUGCACACCUACGAAUGCUU
rnacentral:piRNA from 1 species